AGAGUUUGAUCAUGGCUCAGAUUGAACGUUGGCGGCAGGCCUAAUACAUGCAAGUCGAACGGCAGCACGAGAGCUUGCUCUUGGUGGCGAGUGGCGGACGGGUGAGUAACGCGUAGGAAUCUACCCAGUAGCGGGGGAUAGCCCGGGGAAACUCGGAUUAAUACCGCAUACGCCCCACGGGGGAAAGGCCGGGAUCUUCGGACCGGUCACUAUUGGAGGAGCCUGCGUAGGAUUAGCUAGUUGGUGAGGUAAAGGCUCACCAAGGCGACGAUCCUUAGCUGUUCUGAGAGGAAGAUCAGCCACACUGGAACUGAGACACGGUCCAGACUCCUACGGGAGGCACAGUAGGGAAUAUUGCGCAAUGGGCGAAAGCCUGACGCAGCCAUGCCGCGUGUGUGAAGAAGGCCUUAGGGUUGUAAAGCACUUUCAGUAGGGAGGAAUUAGUGGGGUUAACAGCCCUGCGAAAUGACGUUACCUACAGAAGAAGAUCCGGCUAACUCCGUGCCAGCAGCCGCGGUAAUACGGAGGGAUCAAACGUUAAUCGGAAUUACUGGGCGUAAAGCGCGCGUAGGUGGUUUGUUAAGUGGGAUGUGAAAGCCCUGGGCUUAACCUAGGAAUUGCAUUCCAAACUGACAGACUAGAGUACGAUAGAGGGGGGUAGAAUUCAGAGUGUAGCGGUGAAAUGCGUAGAUAUUCUGAGGAAUACCGGUGGCGAAGGCGGCCCCCUGGAUUGAUACUGACACUGAGGUGCGAAAGCGUGGGGAGCAAACAGGAUUAGAUACCCUGGUAGUCCACGCCGUAAACGAUGUCAACUAGCCGUUGGGAGGCUUGACCUCUUAGUGGCGAAGCUAACGCGAUAAGUUGACCGCCUGGGGAGUACGGUCGCAAGAUUAAAACUCAAAUGAAUUGACGGGGGCCCGCACAAGCGGUGGAGCAUGUGGUUUAAUUCGAGCAACGCGAAAAACCUUACCAGGCUUUGACAUCCAGAGAAUUCGCUAGAGAUAGCUUAGUGCCUUCGGGAACUCUGAGACAGGUGUUGCACGGCUGUCGUCAGCUCGUGUCGUGAGAUGUUGGGUUAAGUCCCGUAACGAGCGCAACCCUUAUCCUUAUUUGCCAGCACGUAAUGGUGGGAACUCUAAGGAGACUGCCGGUGACAAACCGGAGGAAGGAGAGGACGACGUCAAGUCAUCAUGGCCCUUACAGCCUGGGCUACACACGUGCUACAAUGGAUAAUACAGAGGGCCGCAAUGCCGCAAGGUGGAGCAAAUCCCAGAAAAUUAUUCGUAGUCCGGAUUGGAGUCUGCAACUCGACUCCAUGAAGUCGGAAUCGCUAGUAAUCGCGAAUCAGCAUGUCGCGGUGAAUACGUUCCCGGGCCUUGUACACACCGCCCGUCACAUCAUGGGAGUGGGCUGCAAAAGAAGUGGCUAGUCUAACCUUCGGGAGGACGGUCACCACUUUGCG
rnacentral:rRNA from 1 species